GACGAACGCUGGCGGCGUGCUUAACACAUGCAAGUCGAACGGAAAGGCCCUGCUUUUGUUGGGUGCUCGAUUGGCGAACGGGUGAGUAACACGUGAGUAACCUGCCCUUGACUUUGGGAUAACUUCAGGAAACUGGGGCUAAUACCGGAUAGGAUCUCCUGCUGCAUGGGGGGGGUUGGAAAAUUUCGGCGGUUGUGGAUGGUCUCGCUGGUUAUCCGCUUGUUUGGGGGGUAGUGGCUUCCCAAGGCUUUGAGGGGUAGCCUGCCUGAGAGGGUGACCGGCCACAUUGGGACUGCGAUACGGACCAGACUCCUACGGGAGGCAGCAGUGGGGAAUAUUGCACAAUGGGCGGAAGCCUGAUGCAGCAACGCCGCGUGCGGGAUGCCGGCCUUCGGGUUGUAAACCGAUUUGGCAUGUGACGAAGAGUGAGUGACGGUAAUGGGUAAAGAAGCACCGGCUAACUACGUG
rnacentral:rRNA from 1 species